rnacentral:rRNA from 1 species
ACGGGUGCGUAACGCGUGGGAAUCUGCCCUUGGGUUCGGAAUAACAGUGAGAAAUUACUGCUAAUACCGGAUGAUGUCUUCGGACCAAAGAUUUAUCGCCCAGGGAUGAGCCCGCGUAGGAUUAGCUAGUUGGUGGGGUAAUGGCCUACCAAGGCGACGAUCCUUAGCUGGUCUGAGAGGAUGAUCAGCCACACUGGGACCGAGACACGGCCCAGACUCCUACGGGAGGCAGCAGUGGGGAAUAUUGGACAAUGGGCGAAAGCCUGAUCCAGCAAUGCCGCGUGAGUGAUGAAGGCCUUAGGGUUGUAAAGCUCUUUUACCCGGGAUGAUAAUGACAGUACCGGGAGAAUAAGCUCCGGCUAACUCCGUGCCAGCAGCCGCGGUAAUACGGAGGGAGCUAGCGUUGUUCGGAAUUACUGGGCGUAAAGCGCGCGUAGGCGGCUGCUCAAGUCAGAGGUGAAAGCCCGGGGCUCAACCCCGGAACUGCCUUUGAAACUAGGUAGCUAGAAUCUUGGAGAGGUCAGUGGAAUUCCGAGUGUAGAGGUGAAAUUCGUAGA